rnacentral:rRNA from 1 species
AUUGAACGCUGGCGGCAGGCCUAACACAUGCAAGUCGAGCGAGCGGCGGACGGGUGAGUAAUGUAUGGGGACUGCCCGAUAGAGGGGGAUAACUACUGGAAACGGUGGCUAAUACCGCAUACUAUCGGAUAACCCAUAUGGGAUUAGCUAGUAGGUGGGGUAAAGGCUCACCUAGGCGACGAUCUCUCGCUGGUCGGAGAGGAUGAUAGGCCAAACGGGGACGGAGAACCGGCCCAGCUUCCCGGGGAGGCAGCAGUGGGGAAUUUUGCAAAAUGGCGGAAAGCCGGAUGAGCCAAUGCCCGGGGUAUGAAGAAGGCUUUGGGUUGUUAAAGUCCGUUCAGCGGGGAGGCGUUACCCGCAGAAGAAGCACCGGCUAACUCCGUGCCAGCCGCCGCGGUAAUUC